GUCGUGUAAUUCGUUGAGAAAAAAAGAUUGGAAAAGUGAAACUGAUGAAUGUUGACCUUGAGCGUAUCUCAAGAGACAGAUCCUCUUGGCGGUGACGCAAAAUUUACAAAUAUAGAGAAACAUAGAGGCGUCUCUCUUACUGCCUUUUUAAUCCAAAAUUCAAUCGAAGAUCAGGUUUCUCUGCUCUUUGCAAAUGCGGCCUUCUAUCUUCAGAUUCUUCCACUGGCAUCUCCGUCACAACUCCUUGACCUCGGCUAGCUUUUCAUCUAGAGCAUCAUUACUAUCUGCAAGCAUCAGUGGUCAAAAUAUAACUGCUAGUCAUCACAAUGGGUCCUUGUCAAAGAUGUAUUCAACUUCAUGCGAGACACUAUCAGAAGAUCCAUCCAAAGAUAGAGCUAUUUCUGACAUGUUGAUCGAUUCAUUUGGAAGGAUGCACACAUAUUUGAGAAUAUCAUUGACUGAACGGUGUAAUCUACGGUGCCACUACUGUAUGCCAGCUGAGGGUGUAGAACUCACCCCUAGCCCUCAACUUCUAUCUCGGGAGGAGAUUGUUCGCUUAGCAAGUUUGUUUGUUAGCUCUGGAGUGGAUAAAAUUCGUUUGACUGGUGGGGAACCAACUAUUAGGAAGGAUAUUGAAGAACUUUGCUUAGAACUGUCAAGCUUGAAGGGGCUCAAAACCCUGGCGAUGACAACAAAUGGGAUUACUCUGGGAAAAAAACUUCCAAAGCUGAAAGACUCUGGACUUAAUCUGGUGAACAUAAGCUUAGACACAUUGGUUCCAGCAAAAUUUGAGUUUAUGACUAGGCGCAAAGGGCAUGGAAGAGUAAUGGAGUCAAUUGAUGCUGCAGUAAAGCUUGGUUAUAAUCCUGUCAAAGUAAAUUGUGUUGUAAUGCGUGGAUUCAAUGAUGAUGAAAUUUGUGAUUUCGUUGACUUGACACGCGAAAGGCCAAUCAAUGUCCGGUUUAUUGAGUUUAUGCCGUUUGAUGGGAAUGUUUGGAAUGUCAAGAAGCUAGUACCUUAUGCUGAAAUGUUGGACAAAGUGGUUGAAAAAUUUACAGGGCUUCAGAGAAUUCAAGAUCAUCGCACAGAGACAGCUAAGAAUUUCAGGAUAGAUGGGCAUCAAGGCUCUGUUUCAUUUAUUACAUCAAUGACUGAGCAUUUCUGUGCUGGUUGUAACAGACUGCGACUUUUAGCUGAUGGAAACUUUAAAGUUUGCCUUUUUGGUCCCUCAGAGGUGAGCUUGAGGGAUCCUAUUCGUCUGGGCGAGGGUGAUGAUAAACUCAGGGAGAUCAUUGGGGCUGCGGUCAAAAGGAAGAAAGCUUCUCAUGCCGGGAUGUUUGAUCUCGCCAAAACUCCAAAUAGACCGAUGAUACAUAUCGGUGGAUAAUUGAUGAAGUAUAUUGGAUUUUGAUGGUCAAAGUUGAAUUGUACAAUGACGUGCGCCGCAUCAUAUGCACCAGGAAAAGAAAGAGAGAGAAAGUACAAGGAAAAAAAGAAAAGAGGAAGGUGACCAGACAUGUCAAAAUGCUGGACCAAGUUAGUAAACUUCAAUUUGGAUUUUCGACACUGUGUAUAAGCAUGUUUUGACCACCACCAGAAAAUAGUAAGGCCUAUGCAGAAAUAACUCGCGUGUCUCCGUAAAUUGUAGUGUUUCUCUUGUAUGUCAUGUUGAAAUAAGAAUAUAUACCUGUUCCAUUACAUGUAUCAUUUCCGCACAGGCUGUUGUGAUGUAAUCCUUGUGAAAUACACCUUUAUCGUGUCUC